rnacentral:rRNA from 1 species
UACGUAGGGGGCGAGCGUUGUCCGGAUUUAUUGGGCGUAAAGAGCUCGUAGGCGGUUCGAUAAGUCGGGUGUGAAACCUCCAGGCUCAACCUGGAGACGCCACCCGAUACUGUUGUGACUAGAGUCCAGUAGGGGAGCGUGGAAUUCCUGGUGUAGCGGCGAAAUGCGCAGAUAUCAGGAGGAACACCAGUGGCGAAGGCGGCGCUCCGGGCUGGAACUGACGCUGAGGAGCGAAAGCGUGGGGAGCGAACAGG